CCUAUCAAAAACCUUUCUACAUUCAGAUUCUGGCUUUUCUGAAUCACUUUUCAACUCAGACUUAUCAGUGUCCAUCUAUGUUCCCUCACCUCUAUAUCACCACUUUCUGUCAUGUUCCACAACUAAACACUCAGGGUCACUCCAGGUGAACUGGGCUUCACAAAAUAAUCAUAUAAAAGACAGAGAUACCUUUUUCCUUGGGUCCUGUGAUGGCUUCACUGACCUUAGGGAUCAGAGAGAGAGAGAGAGAGAGAGAGAGAGAGAAACAUGUGCUGUGAACACUUUUAUUGAGGAGAAGCCAUUCAAAUGAGGCAAAGGGUCAGGUUUCAGGGGGCUGAGUCUAGCUUCAUGAUGUCUGCUGUCAGCAGGUUGACUGACAUCUGAGAAGGCCACACCCAAAGGCAGAGCAAGAGAAGGGGACAUACAAAGGGCCUUCCCAUGGAACAUUCUAUCCCAAACAGGCAAAGGGGUAGGAUUACAAAAGAAUAGGUGAGUGUAUUACCUAUAUCACCUAUAGGUGCGGAUUACAAAAGAAUAGGUGACAUGCCUACACCUGAAGACACGCCUUCUACUUCCCAGGGGCUGGGACAACGCCAGCCACAAAAUGUAAUGAUUGGUCAAAGCCUCUUGCUUCAGGACUGGAAAGCGUGGGUCAUUCAGAGUGGCUUCCCACAACUUUUUAUCCUUUGAAGAGCAAUGGAAAUAUAACUAUUUAUUUGUUUGUUUGCUUGUUUAUACAUACCAGGGAUUAAACCCAGGGGCACUUAACCACUAAGCCAUAUCC
rnacentral:lncRNA from 1 species